CCCUUAGACGUUCUGGGCCGCACGCGCGCUACACUGACCAGUGCAACAAGCAUCCGUCCUUGGCCGACAGGCUCGGGCAAUCUUUGAACGCUGGUCGUGAUGGGGAUAGACUUUUGCAAUUUUUGGUCUUCAACGAGGAAUUCCUAGUAAACGCAAGUCAUCAACUUGCAUUGAUUACGUCCCUGCCCUUUGUACACACCGCCCGUCGCUGCCCGGAACUGAGCCAUUUCGAGAAAAAUGGGGACAGACUGCUUGUGGGUGCGCAAGCACUUCUUGCAGAUUGAAACCAUCUUGAUCGGUAUGGCUUGAACCGGGCAAAAGUUGUAACA
rnacentral:rRNA from 1 species